AGAAUACCUGACUCAGGCGACACAUACAUACCGAGUAUCAGUGCAUACAACUACUUUCAGCUUAAGGCCAGAAAUUUUUAAUUGCUUCACGAUCGAAUGCAAGUGCUGACAACGUGGUUACAAGUAAAUAUAUAUAUAAAGGUAAAAUGUUUA